ACAUGCCUACAAUAUAGCAUUAAUGCAGCGGAUCCCAUUAGAACUCGGUAGUUAAGCGUGCUCAGGAUAGAUUAGAAUUUGGAUGGGUGACCUCCUGGGAAGUCCUAGUGUUUUACAUGCC
rnacentral:rRNA from 1 species